GUGCUUUUAAACAAACUUCAUCAUUUAUUUAAAACACUUCUAUAGCUGUCCAUCUUUCAGCCAACUGUGGGUGGCUCCUGAUCAAAAACUAAAAAGACAUAUAAAAUCAUUUUUAAAAACUGUCAAAAAACAACUGGUCAAUACAUAAAACAUCAGAACAAGAAAAAUCUGGUGCCAAUCCUUGUUAAUGUGCCGUUAUCUAAGCCACUCCCUAUACUUGGGGGGAAAGCCAGGUCUUUAAGAAGGCUAAAAAGAUGGAAGCCUGUCAAACUUCAGGGGACAAGAUGCCCAUAGGGUAAGGGCUGCCAUGGGAAAUGUUCCCUUUCUCCUAUUAAAUAGUAUUUAGGGAGCUGACCUAUCUGAUCUGGUCAAUAUCCUUACGGAAAGGAGGUCCUCCCCACAGAUAACUUGGCUUCAUGCAAUAUGGGGCUUUAAAGAUGAUGACCAGUACCUUUAUUUCCACUUGCAAAUGAACUGGACGUCAGUGCAGCUUGCAUAAUACUAGUGCUAUGAGGGCAAACCUAUUAAUCCCUGUUACUAUCUGCUCUGCCGCAUUCUGGACCAGUUGAAGUAUUGUGGUAAUCUAGAUGGGAAGUGAUCAAGGCUUGAGUGACUGUGAGCAAAGCCACAGGGUGCAAUUGGUUUGAUCAUGAUAAAGUCUGCAGAUUUUUAAGGAAAGCAUAUUCCAGUAGCUGUUCUAUAUGGAGUUCUAACUUCCUCACAACUAAUUUUUGAAGGAUUUACUUGAGAGACUACCUGUUUUCCAUACUAUCUGCCUGGCUGGUUCAAUCUGGCAGGAUUUGUAGACCCCAGAAGUGCACCUUUUCUGUAGCAAUACUUGUCCUCUGGGAUGUGGUUCCCCCUCUAAGAUUCAAAACUACUCUACUGAUAUUUCAAAAGGCCCUCAACAUAUUGGCUCUUUGCCCAGAUCUUUGGUGAGAUGGUUAAUGCUCCUUUGCUUCCUUUUCCUUGUUCCCACCCAAGUUUUUCUCUGCUUUCUUUUCUUUUUUGCAUUUCUUGUUUUGUUACCUUUUAAAUGCUUUUAACAAAUUGUUAACCAUCCAAAGUUGCUGGGAGUUGAAUGUCCUAUAAAUUUAACUGACUGUGACCAGAACCAUCUUUCUUCUACAAACCCUUUAAUUCAUUUGAAUGCAAUAUAUUUUCUUCUUCCAAUUGGUCUCAAAUUAUCUGUACUGGUCAUACAAAUGUUACCAAAGUUUAAAGCGAUAUAUAUUCAAGAUUAUCUAUGCCAAGGUACAAAAUAAAGCUAGGAAGUUUCAAUAGUGUACAGUAUACAUGUACCAGAAGCAGCAAAUGAAUGGAUGUGAAAAACAAGCCAACUAUUCUUCCAGACUGAAAUAAAACACAACUUCUUUAAGUUGCUAGUUUAACAUACAGAUUAGGAAGAUGCUACUUUUUUUGUCAAGAUUUAAUUCGCUAGCAAGUAUUCAGGUUAUGAACCAAGUUCUUUCUAUACUGAAUAAUAUUCCAUAUAUAGUAUGUCAUAAUCAAUGGCUCAUAUAAGGACUCCUUACUACUAUGAUCUGAGUUCCUUAGGACAGGAAUGAAGUAUUGGAGGGCCACCCAGAGGCCAAAUAUUCUCCCAUUUGGAAAUAGCUCUUGCAAUGCUCAGAAAGGGAUUACCACCUUGCAGUUUUCACUAGAAAGUUCUUUGUUGGGAUAGUAGGCCCAGCAGCCCAACUUUGCAGCUUUUGCACUGUCAUGUAUUUGCUAUUUAAUAACUGGAUGCUGAUUUCCCCCCUGGCAAAAUGUCAUAACUUACUAGAUUCCAGG